AGCGAACGCUGGCAGCAGGCUUAACACAUGCAAGUCGAACGCCCCGCAAGGGGAGUGGCAGACGGGUGAGUAACACGUGGGAACGUACCCUUUGGUUCGGAAUAACUUGGGGAAACUCAAGCUAAUACCGGAUAAGCCCUUAUGGGGAAAGGUUUACUGCCGAAGGAUCGGCCCGCGUCUGAUUAGCUAGUUGGUGAGGUAAUGGCUCACCAAGGCGACGAUCAGUAGCUGGUCUGAGAGGAUGAUCAGCCACACUGGGACUGAGACACGGCCCAGACUUCUACGGGAGGCAGCAGUGGGGAAUAUUGGACAAUGGGGGCAACCCUGAUCCAGCCAUGCCGCGUGAGUGAUGAAGGCCUUAGGGUUGUAAAGCUCUUUUACCCGGGACGAUAAUGACUGUACCGGGAGAAUAAGCCCCGGCUAACUUCGUGCCAGCCGCCGCGGUAA
rnacentral:rRNA from 1 species